UACAGAGGGGGCAAGCGUUGUUCGGAAUUACUGGGCGUAAAGGGCGCGUAGGCGGUCGUGUGCGUCGGAGGUGAAAUCCCCGGGCUUAACCCGGGAGCUGCCUCCGAUACGGCAUGGCUUGAGUCCGGGAGAGGGGAGCAGAAUUCCCAGUGUAGCGGUGAAAUGCGUAGAUAUUGGGAGGAAUACCGGUGGCGAAGGCGGCUCCCUGGACCGGUACUGACGCUGAGGCGCGAAAGCGUGGGUAGCAAACAGG
rnacentral:rRNA from 1 species